UACGUAGGUGGCAAGCGUUGUCCGGAUUUACUGGGCGUAAAGAGCGCGCAGGCGGUCGUUCAAGUCGAGUGUGAAAGCCCCCGGCUCAACUGGGGAGGGUCACUCGAUACUGAUCGACUCGAAGGCAGAAGAGGGAAGCGGAAUUCCCGGUGUAGAGGUGAAAUUCGUAGAUAUUCGCAAGAACACCAGUGGCGAAGGCGGCUCACUGGCCCGGUACUGACGCUGAGGUGCGAAAGCGUGGGGAGCAAACAGG
rnacentral:rRNA from 1 species